GAAAUAAAAAGUAAACGUUAAUGAAUUUAGGCAUGGGCAAAAAAAUCGCAAAACUGAUCAAACCAAUCAAAUCGAAUUGACUCAGGUCAGUUCAGGUCUGUUUAACAUAGGUAAUUGAUAUGGUUUGAUUUUAUUUUUUUUAAACAAAAUUAUGGUGGGUCGAUUUAGUCAUGAUUUGAAGUCUUAAACUGUUGGUUAAUCGUACCAACCCAACUCAGUUAUAUGUUUACCUUCUAUUUUUAAGGGGGAAAAAAUUAAAAGAUAGGCUCUGGUCUCAUAAUUAUAUCUCAAUUUCCUUCAAUUAAUAAUGUUAUCAGUAAGUAAUAGCAACGAAAAUUUUCUCUCAGAAAUUCAUUAUGUUAUAUUUAACAUUUUUUCCAUACUCAGGCAGUCAAGCUACGUAAUGCAUAAUAACUAUCUAAAAUUAUAAGUUUUCUAUUGAUUCGUCUCUUUCAUUUUGAUUUUAUUUGUUAGUCAAUAAUUUUUGUAAUAUAAAGUUAUUUAGUCAUUUUAGUUCUUGUACUUUAAGUGGGCCCAAAAUCAGACAUUUAAAAAAAAAAUCAAUUUAGACUAAAAGUCCACAGCUUGGUUUGGUUCAAUUCUGUUUAAGAGCUAGAGUGGAUUGAUUUGGAUUGUAAUUAAUCUAAACUGACUAAUCUAGUUCUGGUUUCGAGUUGGAGUCAAAAUUGAACCAAAUCAAACUGUACUCGGGCCUAAAUGAAACAUUUCUAAAUACAGUUUAAUAACUUCGUAGCAUUCACUACAAAUUGAUUGACCGACAAUGUUUGUUGCUUCAUAUAUGAGGUUAAAUAGGGAUUCAAAUGAGAUGAAAAUAAGGAGCUACACAAAAUGGUUAAUUUUGUGAUUUUAAUAAUUAUUAAAUAUUUUAAUUCAGUCUUCUAAAGAUAUAAAGAAAAAAUGAAUAUAUAGGAAGAAGAAAAUAUUUGUAUUAUUGUAACAAAUAAGUCAAAACACAAAAUAAUACUAUCCCAUUAUUGCGAUCGUUGUAGGGCAACAAUUAAAGUCAUUAUAAAGUUGAUUAUAGACGUUAAAUAGCUAACUGUAAACAACUUGAUGGUUUUAAGUUUUUUAUAUUUAAACUAUUAGCCCUUGUUUGAGUCAUAUUAUUAUAAAAGUAAUAAUGAAAAAUAUAACCAUUAUGAGUCCCACACAAGAGAUAAAAAUUCAAAUAUGAUGGCUUGAUGUGGCGAAUAACGGUUAUAUUUUUCAUUUUAAUGAGAAAAUAAUGGAGUUCAAACAGGGUCUAAUGAGAUGUUAUUGUAAUAUUCAAGAUGAUUCUAAUCGAAUUUUUUUUUCCCUUACACGAAUAUACUUAUUUUUGUAGAAAUUCGGAAUGGAUAAGAUAUUUAGAAAAUAUAUUCAUGGAUGCCAUGUGAAUGUAUGCUUUAAAUGUGUGAAAUGAAGCUUAUUUAGAUUGAAAUUUAUAUUUACAAUCUCAAAGGUUUUAGAAAAGUCCAAUUCCUUCUAAAACCAGCUACUGAUCAGUAUAAUAACUUUUACAAGUGUAUCGAUUGGUAGACAACUAUGUUUUCAAUGAUCUCUCGUUGCAUUUUAUAGACUG
rnacentral:lncRNA from 1 species